rnacentral:rRNA from 1 species
AGCAGCCGCGGUAAUUCCAGCUCCAAUAGCGUAUAUUAAAGUUGUUGCAGUUAAAAAGCUCGUAGUUGAAUUUCGGGAUCAAUGCGUCGGUCGUGCCUUCGGUACGUACUAGCGUCAUUGAUUCCUCCCUUCUGAAGAACCGUGAUGUCAUUAAUUUGGUGUUACGGGGAAUCAGGACUGUUACCUUGAAAAAAUUAGAGUGUUUAAAGCAGGCUAACGCUUGAAUACAUUAGCAUGGAAUAAUGAAAUAGGACGUUCGAACCUAUUUUGUUGGUUUCUAGGAUCGACGUAAUGAUUAAUAGGGAUAGUUGGGGGCAUUAGUAUUCAAUUGUCAGAGGUGAAAUUCUUGGAUUUAUUGAAGACUAACUACCGCGAAAGCAUUUGCCAAGGAUGUUUUCAUUAAUCAAGAACGAAAGUUAGGGGAUCGAAGACGAUCAGAUACCGUCGUAGUCUUAACCAUAAACUAUGCCGACUAGGGAUCGGAUGAUGUUAAUUUUUUAAUGACUCAUUCGGCGCCUUACG